rnacentral:rRNA from 1 species
AUGGAACGCUGGCGGCAUGCCUUACACAUGCAAGUCGAACGGCAGCGGACCUUCGGGUGCCGGCGAGUGGCGAACGGGUGAGUAAUAUAUCGGAACGUACCUUUCAGUGGGGGAUAACGUAGCGAAAAGUUUACGCUAAUACCGCAUAUUCUGUGAGCAGGAAAGCAGGGGAUCGCAAGACCUUGCGCUGAUUGANCGGCCGAUAUCAGAUUAGCUAGUUGUGAGGUAAAGGCUNACCAAGGCGACGAUCUGUAGCGGGUCUGAGAGGAUGAUCCGCCACACUGGAACUGAGACACGGUCCAGACUCCUACGGGAGGCAGCAGUGGGGAAUUUUGGACAAUGGGCGCAAGCCUGAUCCAGCCAUGCCGCGUGAGUGAAGAAGGCCUGGUUGUAAGA